rnacentral:rRNA from 1 species
ACUCCUACGGGAGGCAGCAGUGGGGAAUAUUGCACAAUGGGCGCAAGCCUGAUGCAGCCAUGCCGCGUGUAUGAAGAAGGCCUUCGGGUUGUAAAGUACUUUCAGCGGGGAGGAAGGGAGUAAAGUUAAUACCUUUGCUCAUUGACGUUACCCGCAGAAGAAGCACCGGCUAACUCCGUGCCAGCAGCCGCGGUAAUACA